UGUCAUCUUUGUAGGCUGAACUUGCAGCUCUGUCGUACAAGAAGUCGAGACUCGUUCGUGUUCUUGGCCCUGGUGGUCGCUACACAUUUGGUGCUUCUGGAGAAGCUGAAGUUGUUAGUGCUCGAGGGAGAGGAGGUGGGGGCCAAGGUUUUAUGAGCGGUGCUGGAGAAACUGAACUCCAGCUUCAGCGGCGAAGAGUCUUAGAAAGGAGGAAUUAUUUACUAACGCAAAUUGAUGAGGUUCGUCGUACCCGUGCUGUGCAACGUGCUGGUCGGAAGAGGCAUGGGGGUUCGUUUGGUCAUCGCUUAGCCAC